rnacentral:piRNA from 1 species
CUGGGUGACAUCUGCUGACUAAAUCUUC